rnacentral:lncRNA from 1 species
AAUAGUUUUGGACUGGACUUUUCAUUUAUUCAUCCCCCACAUCCUUAUGAAUUUGAUUUUUAUUUAAUUUUAUCUUUAGUAGUUAGUUAAUUAAUUAUUUAAUUGAUUAGUUGAUUAAAUUUUAAUUUUAAUUAUUAUUAUUAUUAAGAUAUUUGUUUUUUUUUUAUUCGAUUUUAAUUUCUUUAGUCGCUUGAUUAGAUAAUCUCUUUAUCACAUAUGUAAAUAAUCGUAUCACUAACAUCAUUAAUCAAUUUCAAUUUUUUAAACCAUUCUCAAUCC